UACGGAGGGGGUAAGCGUCAAUCGGAAUUACUGGGCGUAAAGCGCGCGUAGGUGGCUUGAUAAGCCGGUUGUGAAAGGCCCGGGCUCAACCUGGGAAUGGCAUCCGGAACUGUCAAGCUGGAGUACAGGAGAGGAAGGUAGAAUUCCCGGUGUAGCGGUGAAAUGCGUAGAGAUCGGGAGGAAUGCCAGUGGCGAUGACGGCCUUCUGGACUGAUACUGACACUGAGGUGCGAAAGCGUGGGUAGCAAACAGG
rnacentral:misc_RNA from 1 species